CCUACGGGGGGCAGCAGUGGGGAAUAUUGCACAAUGGGGGAAACCCUGAUGCAGCAACGCCGCGUGAGUGAAGAAGUAUUUCGGUAUGUAAAGCUCUAUCAGCAGGGAAGAAAAUGACGGUACCUGAGUAAGAAGCCCCGGCUAACUACGUGCCAGCAGCCGCGGUAAUACGUAGGGGGCAAGCGUUAUCCGGAUUUACUGGGUGUAAAGGGAGCGCAGGCGGUGCGGCAAGUCUGAUGUGAAAGCCCGGGGCUCAACCCCGGGACUGCAUUGGAAACUACCGAACUAG
rnacentral:rRNA from 1 species